UGGAAAUAUAUAAGGCAUCAUUUUGUCUCCAUAUAGGACAGCUCAAUUAAUCAAAGCUGCACAAGCUGUGGAGCAGUGCAAAAGGACGCCAAGGCCUCUUCAGCCACGAACUGCACAAGCUCUGGAACAUUGAGGAGCUGAAGCAGCAGCUGCAAGCAAUGACACCCUGAUUGGAGAUGCAGCCGAGCUGAGCUAUAUAAGGCAGAGUUCCUUUUGUGGAAAAGAGAGAGACUUUGAGACUUGUCGUCUACUCUCCAUGUGCGUGUUGUUAGGGACCUUUGAGUCUCCUGCCCCAGAAACUGUUGUGUUUGAACCUCUUUGUGAGCAGAUGAUUUUUCUAUCAUCUUGUGCUGUGUGCUAAGACUGAAGAAAAUACUAAAUUGCUUGACUUUAUUUAUAAUUUUGGAACACUUUGUUUAUAUAGAAAAUUGUAGAGAGGAGGAUGCCAUUUUGUGCUUAUUGACCAACUUUUUCUCCUGUUUUUGGCUAGUUAGGGAGUGAGGGUAGAUUUCUGUUUAUUGUUUAAUUUAUUUUAUUAAAGGUAAGGCAGUUCCACUCCUAACUAGCUAGAAUACCUUAUUAUUUUGGCCUGGUCCCCUCCUGAAGCCAUCUUACUUUGUAUUUAAAACCAUUAAAUAAUAUCUUUGUUUUGAGAACUGGUAUGUUAUGUAAUCAUUCUGGGACAGGAGAUAAAGUCUCCUGAAUGUUUUUCGUGUUCUUUUGUUACCCUUUUCCUCAAACCCUAGACAAAAGGGGAACGGGACGUAACAACUGGAAGAAUAAAAAAUAACAGUUAAUUUUAUCUAAGGGCCAUUAGAUAUACAGCUCCGCCUGUUCUAAAUCAGACAGAGAAAAAGUAGUGCGACCACACACUUGGUCAAAACUGUGAAUUUAAAUGCACAAUCCAGAAAUAAUAUUAUCCACAGAAUGAGCUGACACUCCAGAGGAAAUUUACUAUUAAGUUCAAAAAGGUACUCCACAGACUCUCAACAAUAAACCUGGUAAAGUCGGGCAGAGGAGCACUCAGUUACACUCAACAUUCAGAGCGUGCAAGGCUGGAUUCAGCGAACAGUUACACAGCCCCUGUCAAAUUCCUGAAAGAUCUUUCCAUAGUCGGAGGAAAGUGCAGCAUACUGAUUCAUCUUUAUCGAGGUGUAGAACUUCAAGACAAGAGAGGGAAAUUGAGGAUGACUUUUUGAGUUUGUUUUCUCUGCAUCCAGUUCUUAUCUGUAUUUGGAGAAUGAGUGCCCACGAGCAAAGUUUUUAAGCAAUCAUUUCAAAUCACAUACUUCACGGUGGUCCUGUGCCGGCCAAGCAACUGCCAUUGUGGUGAAUGGGAAUGCUAAUGGUUAGCUCUCUCCAGAUAUUAUACAUGUUUAUGUGCAUUAAAAUGUGCAUAUUCAACGAAUGUGUAUUGGCAUGCAGCAUCUCAGUGAUUGAAAUGCUUGAUUUGCCUUUGUAGAGGCAGGCUUGAUUUUGUCACCAAUUAUCUGAUAAUAAAUUCACUUAUCUCUCG